CGAGACUUUUAUUCUCCUCAUGCAUUUCAUGGGUCUCACCCAAUCACGUGAGGAACACCCAGUGUUCCAGUGCAGUGCCCUGAGAAGAGGAGGAGGGCAGGAGGGAGCGUGGGCAUCAAGUUCUCAGGUCCAAUGCCCUUAUUUGCUAACCAGCUUUGUGACCUUGGGCAAGACACUUCCCUGCCAGGGGCCUCACUUCUAUUCUGUUAAAUUAAAAAGCUGGACUCAUUCAGGGAUUUCCAGAUGUUGAGAUGCCAGUGAUAACAGGAACUUCCAGGGGUGAUCAUUUUUUACUAUGGCCAAAUAAAAUUAUUAAAGAAAAAACGCUUAGCAUCUAAAAUAACUAUAAUUUCAUUAUAAGAAAACUUUAGUACCAAAUAAAAAUACAUAAAAAUGAGAAAACACAACAUAAAUUUUAUAACCUUAAAUGGGAAAAAAACCCUUAGUUUUAUAAAAACUUAUCUCAUCAUUCUUCUUGUUCUCAUUUCUCUAGAGACCUUUGAAAAUGCUACAGAGCAGCAUUUGGGAACUCUGGGGAUGGCUCUCAGGGCCUCUUGUGCUCUGACAUCCUGGGACUCUCUGGUUCAUUCAGCUGUCAGCUCACACCAGAUGCUAAUGGUGCCAGGCAUAACCCGGGAGAUGGAGCUUGUAGUGAGCCCCCAUCGCGCCACUGCACUCCAACCUGGGCGACAGAGUGAGACACUGUCUCAAAAAAAAAAAAAAAAGAGUUUUUGCAGAGUGUAACCUCCAGACUCCCACUCUCUCCUCCAGUUCCCCAAAGGUAACUGUCUUGGAGGUUGGUGGGUGGGGCUGAAAGUUCCAGUCCUCUAGUCACUGUUCUUCUGGUGAGCAUCCCCAUUCUGAAGCUAACUAGGGGCCCCACCCGAGGUCACCUCAUUAGAGUAAACACAGAUGUCAUUGGAAGGGGUUUGUUAUGAAUAUCAAAGAUACUCCUAUCACUCAGGAAAAUUCCAAGGGGUUUAGGAGCUCUGUACCAGGAACCUGGGACAAAGACCAAAUAUAGUUAUUUUUAUACAACAAGUUCCCACUCCUAACAUUGUGUGACCCCGUUUCAGUGACUUAGGCCCACUGAGAUUCAAUUUCUUCAUCAGACAAAUGGUGCCAACAAUCUCAGGGGGUUGCGCUGAUGACUGGUGAAAUAUGGCACGUCAAGUAAUCUGGCACACCUGGGAGUCUGAGGCUGCACUUGACCCCUUCCCCCCCUGGGGUCCAUCUGUGACAGAGGCUGCUGGCUUGUCCCAGGCACAUUUGGUCACCCUGUCUCUUGCUGUGCAUGCAAGGCAGGCCAGGUACCCACCAUGGCUGCAAUGAUAGGGAAUUCUUAGAAAAAUUUCAGAAGGUUGUUGUGUGUUGGUUAUUUCUCCUUGCUUUCAGCAGAGACCUGAGUGACAUGCAUGCAGGCAUGAGCUAACCUGUCUGCCAGCAGUGCUGGGAGAGGCAGCCUUGCCCAGCAAGGGGUCCUCACCUACAGACUUCAGUCCAAGUCUGGAGCCCUGCAUGACAUAAAAAACCAAAUGUUUCAUUACGCCCAACUGAAGUUACCAUUAGUGGCUUCAAAGCUACAGCCUCAGCAGGAGAUAAGAUUGAUGCUGGGUGCCAUAUUGUUUUAAGGUAUCCCUCAUUAAAUUUAGGGAGUGGGGUGGAGAGAGUUCAGAAGCCAGCAAGUAAAAACGAGAAUUUCAUACUUAACAUCAUGUCUAGAAAAUAACUUUGGCUGGGAUUAAUUCAUUGCACAUGGAACUGACUAGAAAUCCAUCUAAGUUUUUGAGAGGAUUGAAUUAUCAAAAAAACCCAUUAGCCUAGACUGAAAAACCUAUGAAAGCAAUCUCUGGUUCCCAAAUCUGCAUCAGCAGGAAGCAGGCAGCAAAAGAUCUGUAGCUCUGUCAAAUGGGGCUUGGAUGUGGUCAUGGAGGACCAGGAGGGUAAAGCCAGAGGGUAUGCGGGACAAUGAACUGGGUAGUUCAUCCCAGACAGUGGACCCAGGGCAACCAAGGGAUGAUACCUCCAAGGCAGACAGAGUCUUUGCAAUACCUCCCAGUAGAAUUUGAUAGUGGCCAGAGAAGUGGCUCUUGUUGGUGCUUUGCAUUCCCUUUUCCUAAUGUUUGUAUUUGUUUCACCAUUGCAUAUCAGGUAUGUGAGAGGACGGAUUGCUUAUUCUUUAGUUUAUAAGUAGCUAGAUGACAAAGAUCCACAUUCAGACUUGAAGGAGAGGCCUGUACAUCACCCCAGAUAUAACUACUGGGCCCUUGUGGUGGUCUUCUUUGCUUUAGGACUGAAUGUGCUAUGUGUGAGGAAAGGAUACACUUGGAUAUUUUUGUAGUGAAAGGGAUAGACUACAUCACAAACUGUAUUUAUCCCCUGAUUUCUGCUCUCCAUUUUUUCCCAUAGUAAUAGAACUUGGCUUCCCAGAUAAGGACUAUAUCUCCCAGCUUCCCACGCAACCAGGUGUGGCCAGGAAACCAAGCUCCGGCAACCACUACAGUGUUUGUUGGCUUACAGGACUCUUCCUGGAGAGACAGCUGUUUUAAGUCUUUUGAACUUUCUUUCUCCCCUUACCUUCUGUUUUCCAGGAUGUAGAUGUGAUGGUUAAAGAUGCAGCUGCCAUCUUGGAUUAUGAAGUAACCAUGGAUAUGGAAGACACAUAUGAUGAAACAAGGUAGAAGCAGCCUGGGUCCUUGAUGUUACGGCCAACUUACCUCUAGACUUCUUUGAAGCAGAGAAAUAGGCUUGCUUAAGCUACAGGUACUUUGUGUAUUUUGUAAUGUGCAGUUGAACCUAACUCUAAGUAACACCAAAACAAUUAAGAAAUAAGGCAGGAUUAGAUUGUAGUCAGCAUACCAACUUUUUUUUUGAGACAAAGGCUUGCUCUGUAGCCCAGGCUGGAGUGCAGUGGCAUGAUCUUGGCUCACUGCAACCUCCGUCCCCCACGUUCAAGCGAUUCUUCUGCCUCAGCCUCCUGAGUAGCUGGGAUUACAGGUGCCCGCCACCGUGCCCAGCUAAUUUUUUUGUAUUUUUAGUAGAGACAGGGUUUCACCAUAUUGACCCAGCCUGGAGUGAAGUGGGGCAAUCUCGGCUCACUGCAACUUCUGCCUCCCAGGUUCAAGCAAUUCUCCUGCCUCAGCCUCCCAAGUAACUGGGAUUACAGGCACAUUUUUGUAUUUUUAGUAGAGACAGGGUUUCACUAUGUUGGCCAGGCUGGUCCCGAACUCUUGGCCUCAGGUGAUCCACCCACCUCGGCCUCCCAAAGUGCUAGGAUUACAAGCACGAGCCACCACACCCAGCCUGAAUACAGUAUUUUUAAAAAUCAAAAUUAACAGAAAUAAUCCACAAUGAAUAAAAUACAAACAUUUUCAAUGAAGACAGGAUCUGUAACUGUGCCCUGUGGAGUCAUAUUGGAGCAAAAGGAAAAUCAAUGAUACUGACCCUGCAGGCUACUUGCAUUAGCUCACUGUCCUCCUAACUUCUGGGCUAAACAACCCAGCUAAAGCCCACUAGAGGGGGGCUGCUCCCCAACCUUUGCUAGCCCCCUCCUGCUGGCAACUGCUGAUCCUGGGACCAGUGAUGGGCAGGUCCACCUUUGCCCUCAAAUGGUUCUGAACUAGGUCAUUGCAGUCCUUUAAAUAAAUUAACCAAAACCAUAAUAAUAACAACAGAAACAUUUAUUAAGAGCUAAGCGUUUUACAAAUAUUAAUUCACUUAAUACUCACAUCAAUCUUAUAAAGUAAGUGCUCUUGUUAUUUCCUUUUACAGGUGACCAAACUGAGGCAUGGGGGUUUAAUAAGCUUACCCAAAACUACACAGCAAGGAGGAGGCUGUGUCGGGAAUCAAACUCAGUCACUGUGGCCCCCAAGUCCAUGCUCAUAACCACCAGGUAAAAAAUGUGCCUCCUAUUCUAAUUUCUGUCUGACAGUGGGCCCAGUCAUGGUUUCAAUACAGCUCAGCAGAGCAAUGCAGCAAAUCCAGGUGGCAACACUAAAAUACUCAGAAAAGACCAACCAAGCAACCAAAGCAUAACAUCAGCAAUAGCACAACCAAUGUGAAUCAUGAGAACCCUCUGUCUUUAUUAAAUUUGGGGGAAGAAAUCAAGGUCACGAAAUCAAGUGACUGGUGAUGGGGCCUAGAAAUGAGUGUCUCCCCCCACCCCCGGUUUCCGCUCUGGCAGGCGGGUGUUAGCGGAUGGUGUACUUGUCCCACUUCUUCUCGGGGUCAUAGGCCUCCCAGCGGCUGGCGGGGAAGAUGUGCUUGUUCUUCUCGUACCAGCUGCGCAGCACCACCUUGCCCGCGUGCGACUCGUCCUUCUCCAUGGUGGCGUCGCUGAGCAGGCGCACGUCAUCGUGCACAUCGAAGCUGAAGAGCGGCCCGCUCUUGCCCCUCGCCCUGGCGAUGAUGAAGUCGUAGAAGGUGUGGUAGUGCGGCAGGAUGAGGUCCUCCUUGAUGAACAUGAGCUGCUCCACGCCGGCGGAGCGCAGCUCCAGGAAGUCCUUGCGCAGCCCCUGCAGCGCCUUCUUCAGGAACUGCUGCACCGUGUUGCCCUUGCGCACCCGCACCGUGCGCCGGUGGCCCGAGCCGUCCCAGUAGCUGAAGGUGACCUCCAUCUCCUCGUCCUUCACUUUCUCGCGCUGCGCCUCCCACUCUUGGCGCAGCUCCUCUCGGAGCCGGUUCUCCUCCUCCUCGCGGUCGCGGUCUGGCAGGAAGCUGGUGUCCACGUCGGGGUUCUUGCCCAGGUUUCCGGCGCGCCUGGCCUCGGCCGCGUCGGCCUGGUCAUCGAGGUCGUCUAGUGCAAAGGACAGGCAGGAGAUCUUACGCUUGCGCUCGCGCCGCUGCUCCUGCUCCCGCUGCCGCUCCUGCUGCAGCCGCUGCUCCUCCAGGUGCUGGCGCUUGGCCAGCUGCCGCUCGCGCUCCCUGACCAGGGCCUCCUGCCGGGCCUUCAUGUCGUUCAGGGUCACCAGGCCCACCGUGCUGGACUUCAGCUCGGCCUCCACGGCGUCGUAAUGCGCCGAGAACCUCUUGUCCACCUGCGACUUGAGGAUGGUCUCCUCG
rnacentral:lncRNA from 10 species